UACAGAGGUCUCAAGCGUUAGGCGGAAUCACUGGGCUUAAAGCGUGUGUAGGUGGGUUUGUAAGUACCUUGUUAAAUCCCAUGGCUCAACCAUGGAACUGCUUGGUAUACUGCGAAUCUUGAGCUGUCUAGAGGUUACUGGAACAAACGGUGGAGCGGUGAAAUGCGUAGAUAUCGUUUGGAACGCCAAUGGUGAAAACAGGUAACUGGGGACACGCUGACACUGAGACACGAAAGCCAGGGGAGCAAACGGG
rnacentral:rRNA from 1 species